UCUGGUCCUUGUGUGCCCGCCGCCGCGGUCCUACGGAGGCUGCACGCGUUCUCCGGAUUUAUUGGGUUUAAAGGGAGCGCAGACGGGUCGUUAAGUCAGCUGUGAAAGUUUGGGGCUCAACCUUAAAAUUGCAGUUGAUACUGGCGUCCUUGAGUGCGGUUGAGGUGUGCGGAAUUCGUGGUGUAGCGGUGAAAUGCUUAGAUAUCACGAAGAACUCCGAUUGCGAAGGCAGCACACUAAGCCGUAACUGACGUUCAUGCUCGAAAGUGUGGGUAUCAAACAGG
rnacentral:rRNA from 1 species